rnacentral:rRNA from 1 species
AGCGAACGCUGGCGGCAGGCUUAACACAUGCAAGUCGAGCGGGCACCUUCGGGUGUCAGCGGCAGACGGGUGAGUAACACGUGGGAACGUACCCUUCGGUUCGGAAUAACGCUGGGAAACUAGCGCUAAUACCGGAUACGCCCUUAUGGGGAAAGGUUUACUGCCGAAGGAUCGGCCCGCGUCUGAUUAGCUAGUUGGUGGGGUAACGGCCUACCAAGGCGACGAUCAGUAGCUGGUCUGAGAGGAUGAUCAGCCACGCUGGGACUGAGACACGGCCCAGACUCCUACGGGAGGCAGCAGUGGGGAAUAUUGGACAAUGGGCGCAAGCCUGAUCCAGCCAUGCCGCGUGAGUGAUGAAGGCCUUAGGGUUGUAAAGCUCUUUUGUCCGGGACGAUAAUGACGGUACCGGAAGAAUAAGCCCCGGCUAACUUCAUG